UACAUUAGCAAUGACACUCAACCAAGCUUGCCUCAUUGCAGUACAUCUCUUAUCUCAGGUUCUACAGCAGGGGUGUCAAACUCCAACCCUGGUCUAAUACACUUGUAAUACAAGUGGAUUUUAAACAAGUCUGAAAACUCAAUUAGUUUAAUCAGGUUUGUUUAAUUAGGGUUGAAACUAAACUGUGCAGAGCUGAGACCUUACAAAAACUGAGUUUGACAUCUGUGUUCUACAGUCUUUGAGUGGAACCAGUUUCUUUUCAUGAACUCUCCAACAGCAGAAAAUAUGACAAAAACGAGCUUGGUGUCAAGCUUGCAGCACUAUUUCUCCCUCACCUGUGCACUUAUUACUGCUCUGCUAGUAAGUUCCUGAGAUGAUAAACACUAGGAAGUUCCUACAUUUUCCUAAUAUCAUACUCCAUGUAAGAAUCUGACCUUUGGUGCUUUAUAUGUGGUUCCCUAUGUACUAACAAGUAUACUUUUCUCUUCUGAACGGUUCCCCUCUCUUUAAGCCAGGAAACAGACAUAACCUUUGUCCUUUUGGGUCAUGAUUUCUUCAAUAGGGUCAGCCUGUUGCCACAAUUUCUUCACUAUGGGUAGUAUGUGGGCUCUGCAGCUGUUCUGCGGGGUUAGGCCUCAUAUGUAGACUCUACUCAUAAAUUUUCAUUGGCCCAUUUCUGAAUGACUGGUCUUCUAAACAGAAUCCCAAUAUGUCAUCAUAACAUAAUUUAUCUGUUCCUUUUUUCAGGAAAUAUGGGUUACAUCCAUAAUGGCAUUGAGGGAAGAAAUUAAAUGAAAAUUGAUUGUUAUUUUCAUAUAUUUCUCUACUUUGAUACUGUGCCAAACUAAAAACUAGGGGUUGUAGUCUCGCCUAGUUAUUUGUAGUUUUUCAUUUAAGUUGAAUCUGAUUUAUUCUAAACAAUAUUUAUGAUCUACUUUUUUCUGAAGAUUAUUUAUGAUAUACUUUGUUUAAAAACAAAAAAAGAUAUUGCUAUAUGGUAUAGGUAUAUGACAUGAUAAUUUAGAAUCUGUUUUACUUUGGAUGCAGUUUAGAUAUAGAUACUACAUAUAAACUGUAUAUACUAUUUUAAUUGUUUUAUUCUUGUUACUAACCAGUAUUCAUACUCAUUCUCGGCUCUCAUUCUGUUGACGCUUUAAUUUACAGAGAUAUGCUAAAUAAAUAAAAAAAUGGAUAUACAUUGUUUCUUAGUGUCGAGGACUCUAAGUUUGACACUUCUAAUGUUCUUCAAAGCAAAUCCGAAAAGGUGGAUUAUUCUACAUUAGGUAAGGUACGUUUUUAUUCCACUCUUGUAUAGCCUACCAGUCACUGUGAAUUCUAAAUGUAUAAAUGAUAUGGCAUACACUGAAUGUUGAAAAAGAUCUUGUGGUCUGUCGUAGUGGCCUAAAAUGUGAUACUCCAUUUGCUUUGCCAUGACCAAUAUCUUUAUUGGUCAGUUUCAAUAAUUUGACAUGCUGGCAUCAUCUUGCUGGACAUUGUUAAAGUUCCCAGACAGCUUUGGAUGUCAUCCACUGUGAUGCACAAUGCAGACUAAAACUGGAUUCUUGCACCCGGAUGUGCAGAUGUUGUUAAAUCACCUCAACAUGUUAUGUCAAAUUGGGCCAAAAUUUAACUAUUGAAAUAGUCUUAAUUGAGCUCAAGUCAACCAGCUUCACUAGACAGAUCGAAAAUUUUGAUUAGUAUUUGUUUUGCUGGUGAACAGCAAAGAUUUGCUGGUCCACCAGCUAGACCAGCAUCAUACCAGCUCUAACCUGUCUUUUCAACAGGGUUGCAGUGCUUAAUUACUUAAUUCUCAAUAAAAUAUAUUCAUAAAACACGUAAAACAUAUCAAUGAAUAAGCAUUUCUGCAUUCUGAAAUUCAGAAAGUUAGACCACAGCUGCUGCAUAGUAAAAAGGCAUGACAAAUAACUCUGUUUGCCUUGAACUGAUCGCAGAGAGACAAAGUACUAGUAGAAAGAAGUUACUAGCACUAGUGUAAUGUCCUGCCAUUAAUACCACACACUAAGAGGUAAUGUCUCCAUGUGCCUGCCAAGUAUUUAUACACUAUUGCACAUUCUGGCAAGUCUGGUAAAGUGUGUAUGCACGCGAGAGGUGGACACUGGCAUUUAGUCUAAUACUGUGUAUUGUGUUUUGCAGAGAUGAAAGACUUAAAGCCCUCAUGUGUCCGUCAUAACAGAGGACAUGUUUAGAUCAAAACAUACAAUACUUGCAUUUAAUUCUUUCCUCAGUCUUAAGGUGCAGUCACACUAAUCGCACUUCAGUCGCUGCAUUGAAUAUAGGCAAAGCUUUUGGGGUAUAAUAAAUUACAAAUGAUGCAAAUUUAUACAUGUAAAUCAACCUAGGCUACACUGUAAAAAAAAUCUGUAAAAUAACAGUUAAAUGACUGUAUAUUUUAACGGAUUUUUUCCGUAUACACGUAUUACGGGUGUUUUUCCGUUUAUAUACAUUUUCGAAUUGCAUUAUGGGAAGGGGAUCGCAGCUUAGGCAGCGUUUGAUGGACACCGGGACAUAUUUCUUCCUCUGUUUUUUCCCUGUUGUUUGUCCGUAUUUUUCUAAACUGCCGUGCGCGGGAAGUGAUGUGACGUCCCAAUCACCCACUCACUCCCUCUGCACCUGCAUGAGUCUGACUGGAUUAACGGUAAAACGUCAGCUUGUCUGUGAGAGUGUAAAAGGUUCUUUCAUUUUGGUUUUAAGUACAUGGUACAGGUGUGUUGGUGUAAAAAUUGAUGCUGACUGAACUCAGGCAGUUGUGCUGGACCUUCUGUACUUUAUACAGGAGAUGACAGUAAACUUUCAAGUUUAAGAGAACUCAGGCAGUUGUGCUGGACCAUCUGUACUUCAUACAGGGGAUGACAGUAAACUUACAAGUUUAAGAGCCACCUGAUGAUGAGAAAGACAUUUUCAAUGUGGGCAUCUUGAUGAAGAAGAGUCCACAGUCACAAUAACAAGAUCAUUGAGCUGUCCCCUAAUUGUGGUCAGCUACAUGUUUAGUCUCUUAUGUGCUAAACAUUAUGUAGCCUAAGGAAGCAGCCCUGACUCUGUAGUUUAUAUGAAGGAGCAUGCUGAGUAACUAACCAGAACGUAGGUCCAAAGCAGAAAAAAGGGCACCAAGCAGAAACAUACCAUCUUAACUCCUUCGAUUCCUGUCAGACCAGAAAGACUUUCAGAAUCCUUGGAAGAUUUAAAGCCAUUGAAGUAUCAGUAUUGGAGAGGAAGAAGACCCAGUUGUAUCGUCUGUUUCCUGCCAUCUUGCAGUUAACCUGGUUUCUUAAUGUAAAGUACUUGUAAUUUGCCCACUUGUCCUUAAUUAUCUUAAAGCUAACAUUUAAAACUAAUUUGCUAUGAGAUUAUCUGCCAAGACUUCUCACUGUGCGAUUCACAUGUCAAUAUGUAUUAUUGU